UCUGCCUGCUGGCUGAAGAUGAAGCCUG
rnacentral:piRNA from 1 species